GAUGAACGCUGGCGGCGUGCUUAACACAUGCAAGUCGAACGAUGAAGCCCAGCUUGCUGGGUGGAUUAGUGGUGAACGGGUGAGUAACACGUGAGUAACCUGCCCUUAACUCUGGGAUAAGCCUGGGAAACUGGGUCUAAUACUGGAUAGGAGCGUCCACCGCAUGGUGGGUGUUGGAAAGAUUUAUUGGUUUUGGAUGGACUCGCGGCCUAUCAGCUUGUUGGUGAGGUAAUGGCUCACCAAGGCGACGACGGGUAGCCGGCCUGAGAGGGUGACCGGCCACACUGGGACUGAGACACGGCCCAGACUCCUACGGGAGGCAGCAGUGGGGAAUAUUGCACAAUGGGCGCAAGCCUGAUGCAGCGACGCCGCGUGAGGGAUGACGGCCUUCGGGUUGUAAACCUCUUUCAGUAGGGAAGAAGCGAGAGUGACGGUACCUGCAGAAGAAGCACCGGCUAACUACGUG
rnacentral:rRNA from 1 species